UACGUAGGGGGCAAGCGUUGUCCGGAUUUAUUGGGCGUAAAGAGCGUGUAGGCGGUUUGGUAGGUCCGCUGUGAAAACUCGAGGCUCAACCUCGAGACGCCGGUGGAAACCAUCAGACUAGAGUCCGGAAGAGGAGAGUGGAAUUCCUGGUGUAGCGGUGAAAUGCGCAGAUAUCAAGAGGAACACCGGUGGCGAAGGCGGUUCUCUGGGCAUUACCUGACGCUGAGGAGCGAAAGUGUGGGGAGCGAACAGG
rnacentral:rRNA from 1 species